GUCUCCCACACUCUCAUCUCUCUUUCGAUACUCUCUCUUUCUUAUCUCAAACUAAGUUCUCUCUCUCGGUACUGUCUCUUACACUUUCAUCCAUCUCAAAUUAGAUCGAUAGCUGUAGCUGCUUGUCUCUCUCUCGAUCGGUGGAUUAAUCUUAGAUCAGAGAUAUUCAAUGAACUUUACACUCCCAAAUCAAUUAUUUAUCUCAUCUACAAUGGAGUUUGUUGCUUUUGUUUAUGGAGUUUGUUACAUUUAUACUUUUGUUUGUUUGUUGUUGUCCAAAUCCAAUUUAUCUCUAUUUGUUUGCUUAGAAUUUGUGGAAAGGAAAAUGUUUACUAAUACUGAAUUUGUUUGUUGUUGUCUACUACUGCUACUGUUUGUUUGCUUAGAAUUUUGUUACAUAAGAUGACAUUUUGGAGAAUUGGUGAUACUAUUUUAGUAGGUUUUUGUUAUUUUAUAUGUUGCUGUUUUUGUUGAUCAAUUCA